GUAAGCAGCCGUCCACCGUAGUUUUCUGCGUCGUUGUUCGUGUGUCUCCGCUUAGUUCACGUUUACGUAGUGAAAUAAGCAACGUCCGUCGCAUUUGUGUGGUUGGCGAAACUUUAAGGCAUGUCGAAUAAUAAUUGCUGUGUGGUGGGGUGCUCAAACACCUACAAAAACUCGCCGGGGACGCGGUUUUACCCAUUCCCCGCGAGGCCUCAUGAGCAGGAGCGACGGAAACAAUGGAUCGCCGCCGUUCGUCGGGAAAGUGCAGAUGGCAGUCCGUGGCAGCCUACCAGACACAGCAAGAUCUGCAGCUGUCACUUUGUAAAUGACGAGAAGUCGAACGAUCCGAGAAGCCCUGCCUAUCUACCAACCUUGUUUCCAAGUGUGUACAGGUCUACCAACGUUGCUACUGUACACAGGUAUGAAAGGCUCCGGUCACGUGAGCAGCACGGACAAGCCACAUGGAGCUGUGUGUUGCCAGUUCCUGACGACCAAGAAUGGGGUGGUGCAACUGCAGUG
rnacentral:lncRNA from 1 species